AUUAUUCUUUUUUUUCAUCAAUAAUAUGAUUGUUUUUUGCAAAAUAUUCAACUCACGGUAAUUUUUCUUGACGCAUUGAAAGACCGGUUUCUUCAAGAAAUGAGAAAAUUUUGACAAGCUUUCUUCGGUUCUUUCAGACGAGAAGGUUAUGUAAAAAGACUUUAAUUAUUCUAUAACGUGUGAAUUAUAAUCUCUAGAGAUAUAAUUAAAAGGCUAUUGUUUCCAAUGUA